GAUGAGCGCUGGCGGCGUGCCUAAUACAUGCAAGUCGAGCGAACGGACGAGAAGCUUGCUUCUCUGAUGUUAGCGGCGGACGGGUGAGUAACACGUGGAUAACCUACCUAUAAGACUGGGAUAACUUCGGGAAACCGGAGCUAAUACCGGAUAAUAUUUUGAACCGCAUGGUUCAAAAGUGAAAGACGGUCUUGCUGUCACUUAUAGAUGGAUCCGCGCUGCAUUAGCUAGUUGGUAAGGUAACGGCUUACCAAGGCAACGAUGCAUAGCCGACCUGAGAGGGUGAUCGGCCACACUGGAACUGAGACACGGUCCAGACUCCUACGGGAGGCAGCAGUAGGGAAUCUUCCGCAAUGGGCGAAAGCCUGACGGAGCAACGCCGCGUGAGUGAUGAAGGUCUUCGGAUCGUAAAACUCUGUUAUUAGGGAAGAACAUAUGUGUAAGUAACUGUGCACAUCUUGACGGUACCUAAUCAGAAAGCCACGGCUAACUACGUGCCAGCAGCCGCGGUAAUACGUAGGUGGCAAGCGUUAUCCGGAAUUAUUGGGCGUAAAGCGCGCGUAGGCGGUUUUUUAAGUCUGAUGUGAAAGCCCACGGCUCAACCGUGGAGGGUCAUUGGAAACUGGAAAACUUGAGUGCAGAAGAGGAAAGUGGAACUCCAUGUGUAGCGGUGAAAUGCGCAGAGAUAUGGAGGAACACCAGUGGCGAAGGCGACUUUCUGGUCUGUAACUGACGCUGAUGUGCGAAAGCGUGGGGAUCAAACAGGAUUAGAUACCCUGGUAGUCCACGCCGUAAACGAUGAGUGCUAAGUGUUAGGGGGUUUCCGCCCCUUAGUGCUGCAGCUAACGCAUUAAGCACUCCGCCUGGGGAGUACGACCGCAAGGUUGAAACUCAAAGGAAUUGACGGGGACCCGCACAAGCGGUGGAGCAUGUGGUUUAAUUCGAAGCAACGCGAAGAACCUUACCAAAUCUUGACAUCCUUUGACAACUCUAGAGAUAGAGCCUUCCCCUUCGGGGGACAAAGUGACAGGUGGUGCAUGGUUGUCGUCAGCUCGUGUCGUGAGAUGUUGGGUUAAGUCCCGCAACGAGCGCAACCCUUAAGCUUAGUUGCCAUCAUUAAGUUGGGCACUCUAAGUUGACUGCCGGUGACAAACCGGAGGAUGGUGGGGAUGACGUCGAAUCAUCAUGCCCCUUAUGAUUUGGGCUACACACGUGCUACAAUGGACAAUACAAAGGGCAGCGAAACCGCGAGGUCAAGCAAAUCCCAUAAAGUUGUUCUCAGUUCGGAUUGUAGUCUGCAACUCGACUACAUGAAGCUGGAAUCGCUAGUAAUCGUAGAUCAGCAUGCUACGGUGAAUACGUUCCCGGGUCU
rnacentral:rRNA from 1 species